CCAAUAGCGUAUAUUAAAGUUGUUGCAGUUAAAAAGCUCGUAGUUGAACUUCGGGAUUUACCCAUUGGUCAGGCUUAAUUGUCUGUACUGUUGAGAUAAAUCUCUACCUUCUGAGGAACUUUCAUGCCAUUUAUUUGGUGUGAUUGGAAUUCAGGACUGUUACUUUGAAAAAAUUAGAGUGUUUAUAGUAGGCUAACGUCUGAAUACAUUAGCAUGGAAUAAUGAAAUAGAACGGAUUGAUUCUAUUUCGUUGGUUUCUAGGAUCACCGUAAUGAUUAAUAGGGAUAGUUGGGGGCAUUAGUAUUCAAUUGUCAGAGGUGAAAUUCUUGGAUUUAUUGAAGACUAACUACUGCGAAAGCAUUUGCCAAGGAUGUUUUCAUUAAUCAAGAACGAAAGUUAGGGGAUCGAAGACGAUCAGAUACCGUCGUAGUCUUAACCAUAAACUAUGCCGACUAGGGAUCGGACGAAGUUAAUUUUAUAAUGACGCGUUCGGCACCUUACG
rnacentral:rRNA from 1 species